CGGGACCGACCUUGUUCGCCGCCGGCGCCUUCUCGCGCGGCGGAAUCAGGCCGCCGCGCUAGGCUUGGCGAGUGUGCGUCGCCCGUCGGCGGCUUCCGCCCGCCCGGACUACCGCAUCCUUCUGCCCUCUCCUGGGACGACGAGUCUCUCUUCCUGUUCCGGUGUCCCGGCGUGUUCCGGGCCUUCGACCCGGUGGGUGGGUCAGCGUGCAGGCCGCGCCUCUCCCCUGGAGCAGCAGAGCUUGACAUGGAUGGGAACAUGACUUCUUGGAAUGGCAAUGACAGAUGGAAUUACUUCUUAAGGGCUUCCAGAAACAAUUCAAUGCUCUGGAGAAUAAAAAAGGUGCCACAUACGAAGAGGAAGUCAGGAAGGAACAAAGUUUACUUCAUGCCCCUUAUUUGUGAGAAUCUUGGCAAGGCCAAGGUCUCCAACAUGCGCAACCAUGUCCUCCCCAAGAAGAAUGUUGCUGGGCUUGAAAUCACAGUUUCCGUGAGGCAUGAACUUGAAUACUAUGGCUUUAAAGUCAUUUUGAUUCAAGCCAGAGCAAGAACAGCAAGUUAUGACACCAAUCAAGUUGCGAUGGCGGAUUUUGCUAAUUGCGUUACACUCAGCCACAAAACUUUUGGAAGAACCAGAUUGAAUGGUACCAUUAAAGAAGUUAUCGUCCAAAUGAAGUUCCAUCAAGCUCUGACAGUUGCUGAGACUAUUUGGUAG
rnacentral:lncRNA from 1 species